AACCCAUGGCGAGGGCAUCUUCUUAAUAAAUCCUUGUAUCUCUCCCAUGCAUCAUAUAAAGUCUCUAAAUCAAUUUGCACAAAGGAAGAGAUAUCAUUCCUCAACUU
rfam:Gossypium arboreum cultivar AKA8401 contig_44513_3, whole genome shotgun sequence.